AUGCUUACCAUUAGAUGGUGUAUUUUGGUGGCAAAAGAUUUGAAUUUGCAGAAGAUUGUUAUUCACUUUGAUUGUCUGAAUGUGGUGGAUUGCUUCAAUGGUUUUUGCAAGAAUGCUUCCCUCGAUCACAUAGUUGAAGAUUGUAGGCUGUUAUGUAGUAAUUUUCUUGUUGUGUCGUUUUGUUUAUCUGUAGGGAAUUCAAUUUAG